rnacentral:rRNA from 1 species
GCAGAUGAGGAGGUAUCUGACCCAAAGGCACUCCUAGAGGAUCGUACGAAGGCUAAGUGUGUCUACCAGUGGUAUGAAUAUCAGAAAUGCGUUAAGAGAAUUGAAGGUGAUGAGACCGGGCAGAAGCACUGUACUGGCCAGUACUUCGAUUACUGGAAAUGCAUCGACAAGCAUGUUGCUGAGAAGCUCUUUGAUAGCUUAAAAUGA